UACAGAGGGUGCAAGCGUUAAUCGGAAUUACUGGGCGUAAAGCGAGCGUAGUCGGUUAUUUAAGUCGGAUGUGAAAUCCCCGGGCUCAACCUAGGAAUUGCAUUCGAUACUGGAUAGCUAGAGUUCGGCAGAGGGAAGCGGAAUUUCGGGUGUAGCGGUGAAAUGCGUAGAUAUCCGAAGGAACAUCAGUGGCGAAAGCGGCUUCCUGGACCAGAACUGACGAUCAGGCUCGAAAGCGUGGGGAGCAAACAGG
rnacentral:rRNA from 1 species